rnacentral:rRNA from 1 species
AACGAACGCUGGCGGCGUGCCUAACACAUGCAAGUCGAACGAGAAAGGGGCUUCGGCUCCGAGUAAAGUGGCGCACGGGUGAGUAACACGUGGGUAACCUGCCUCUAAGAUUGGGAUAACUCGUCGAAAGAUGAGCUAAUACCGAAUAAGACCACAGUUCCCGCGGGAACAGGGGUCAAAGGUAGCCUCUGCUUGCAAGCUAUCACUUAGAGAUGGGCCUGCGCACCAUUAGCUAGUUGGUAGGGUAACGGCCUACCAAGGCAAAGAUGGUUAGCUGGUCUGAGAGGAUGAUCAGCCACACUGGAACUGAGACACGGUCCAGACUCCUACGGGAGGCAGCAGUGGGGAAUAUUGCGCAAUGGGCGAAAGCUUGACGCAGCAACGCCGCGUGAGUGAUGAAGGCCUUCGGGUCGUAAAGCUCUGUCGGGAGGAACGAAUGCUCCUGAGGUUUACAGCCUCGGGAGGUGACGGUACCUUCAAAGGAAGCACCGGCUAACUCUGUG